rnacentral:rRNA from 1 species
CCUACGGGAGGCAGCAGUGAGGAAUAUUGGUCAAUGGGCGGGAGCCUGAACCAGCCAAGUCGCGUGAGGGAAGACUGUCCUAUGGAUUGUAAACCUCUUUAGGCGGGGAGCACUGCAGGGCGCGCGUGCCCGGAGGGAGAGUACCCGCAGAAUAAGCAUCGGCUGACUCCGUGCCAGCAGCCGCGGUAAUACGGCGGAUGCGAGCGUUAUACGGAUUUAUUGGGUGUAAGGGGUGCGUAGGCGGAUUGUUACGUCAGCGGUAAAAUGUCCGGGAUCAAACCGGGCCGGCCGUUGAAACUGGGGAUCUUGAGUGGGCGAGAAGGAUGCGGAAUGCGUGGUGUAGCGGUGAAAUGCAUAGAUAUCACGCAGAACUCCGAUUGCGAAGGCAGCAUACCGGCGCCCGACUGACGCUGAAGCACGAAAGCGUGGGGAUCGAACAGGAUUAGAUACCCCAGUAGUC